ensembl:lncRNA
GAGCGGUGCGGUGCCCGCGCGCCGGCCGAACGAUCCGGUGCUGGUGCCCGGCGGCCUCCUAAGGCUCCGUCCUGUUCCUCCCGGGCGCGGGGGCGGCCCCCGGCUCACCGCGGACAUCGAGCCCAGAGCAGCCCGGAGUCACACUCAAAGCCUUCCGCCCGGCCACCCGCCCACUUCUCACUUCCUUCCUUCUUUCUUUUUUUUUUUUUUUUUCCCACUCCUCCACUUUCCCCGCCGGAAACGCCACCCCUUCCUCCUACAGUUCCGCCCGCCAAUUCCUCGACUCCGGUCGUCCCCUCGCGCGCCGGAGAGUGACGCAGAGGCCUCCCCCGUUUCAGCCGCCCCUCCCCGGGCACUCUGGGAGAAGGUUGGGGGGGGGGGGAUAGGGCGGAGCCCAGGGAGAAAUAGAAAGGAAAACCAACCCGAUUGGGCAGGCCGCUGCCAUGGAAACUGGAGGCUGUGGUUGUAUUGUCAUAGUAACUGCCGUGUGUAGACAGGGUGACCCUCCCGUAGAGAAACGGGUUCCCUGGAAACUGCCCAGGAUUCCCCACUUGGAUUCCCUGCCUUUUUAAAAGCCAGGAGUCGAGAUGGUUAUCCGAGCAGGAAACGAAAGUACAGCCGACUUGGACAUCAUUCUCAAGGACAGCUUGUCAUUAACGAAAUAGAAAGUGAACUAUGCCCCCUCAUGCUGCAAGCAAGCGCUAGUGUGAGGCGCUAUGACGUGCGGGCGAUUGCAGCAGUACAAUGGCCCCUAUCUUCCACCAGCGCCAACGCACCGCCCACUCACGGGAAAGAGAGCCACCUAGUGAGAAACUGUUCACAUCUCUGGAACUGUCCAGGUUACUAUGGAUACCACAGUGAAAGAGAGAUGAUACUUAGAAUAACUCACCUUCUGGUUGCAGCACAAGAAGUGACGAGAAUGGGAAGCAAUGGCUUUGGUAAUUGAGAUAACAAAUCAGAAGCACAGAUGAGAUCAGAAAUAAACUUCACGUUUAUAGCAAACAGGAAGUGAUCCAGAACUGCAUUCAAGGAGAAGGAGGAAAAGAGAGUGCAUUGCCCCCAACUCAGUCAUGGCUGAUAGCCAAGGAUAAACUGCUAAGAAAGAAAACAGCUUUCAUCUGCAGAUGAGGGAUGUCUCAGCUCAUUAGCUGCUGAGAUGUUGAGAUGAGAUGAAGACCUGUCUGAAAGCUAAAGAGAACAGGAAGCUUUUCAGGAGCCAGCCCAGGUGGCCUGGCUGGCGUGUCCCUCCUGGCUCUCCUGAUGUCCUGCUCAUUCCCUCACAUGUGCUCGCAGAACCUUUGAUUGAGGUGCUUCUGUCUUAGUCCCCCAAGUCCCUCUAUCCUGUGUUCAACAAGAAACACCUGGUUUUAGUUCUUUAGCGCUUGGUCCUCUGACUGGACCAAGUCUAUAAGGCAUGGCACGUAUUGGAAUGCAACAUUUCCCACUGUACACAGCAAUGUAUAUUAGCUGUAGAAAGGAGGCUGGGUUAAGUUUGGGUAAAUAUUUAUGGGUCCAAAAGUUAGGACCUUAAGUAGAUGUAAGAGUUUAGGAUGUGAAGAGACCAUCUGAAUGAUCGAUUCCUAGACAGGAAUGCUCUGCUCUCCUGAGACAAAUAUCUAAAUCUGGCAUGUGAUCUAUGAAACUCUGUCUUCAAAACAAAACUUUAGAGUAGAUAAAUCUACCUAAACCUCGUUUUACCUCUGGCAACCCCAAUCUGUGCAUAUCCUGCUGUUAAGGAGAAGUGAGCUGAUAGAAUCAUCUAGUGUCUGUUGAUUUAUUCUUUCAUGCAACCUUCAAAUAUAUAUUAAAGAUUCCAUUGUAUUGGCUCCUAAUAGGGUCUUGCUCUCAGUGCUUAAAGUGGAGGGAAUUACAUAGAGGGGCAGCAGUAUUUUAAGGGAGAAUGCUAUGAUAAAGAGCUUUGAAGUCAUCCCACUUAAAGAUGAAAUACAGAUACAUAACAUUCUACAAACUCUUUCAGAAUGAAACAUUGGAACUU